UGGAUCGUCGGCAGCGGUGACCGGAGGCGUCGGGCAUGGCCGGAGACGCUCCGGCGCGUGACGGAUCCGCGGCGGUGGCCCCCGCGCCUCCCCGACGCUGGUGGCCUUCCCGCGCAUCCUCCUGCCGGAGGCGCCAGUGGAGUACCGGCGGAGGAGGGCCCGGGGGAGGGCCCCGGCGGCGCCAGUGGAGUACCCGCCGGUGCAGGAGGAGGGCCAGCACAGGGAGCCCUCGGGGUCACGCAGCCUCUGCCUCCUCAGCACCGGCGCGUCCUGGCGAGCAGCGUGAGGAGGGCCGGCUCGGGAAGCCCAGGAGGAGGGCCAUGGCGCCGCUCGCCGGAGCACAUACCCCGCCUUGUUACUCGUCCGUCCUACCUCCUCAGUGGCACGUUUCGAUUUCCCGUGGGGAGAUGCCACAUACCUCGAGGCCACACUCGAGAAUCUCGAGUUCUCUAAUGAACUUGGAUGUAAGGGCGGCCCUGGUGUGGGAGGCGGCGUGGCCUCGGCAGAAGGACCAGACGGAGUCCAGUGUGGAAGGAAGCAAGAAGGAAGGGACAAUUUUUUCGGGUCGAUUAUUGUUGUUCUGGGUUGAUUACCACAUCAACUAAGUUGUGUUCUCUUUUAAGCUCUCGAUCUGGAGCUGUACAUGCCCAGGAUGGUCUUGACGGCGCUGCUGCUGCUACUGGUUAAUUAUGAGGACUUGGUGCUCCAUUAUCUCCUCAUGUCACUUAUGUGGGUGGCGAGGAGAUCAACGAGAUGUCUCGCACCUCCGGUGCACGAUGACAAGAUGGUGGGGCCUUUUGGCGUUCUUGCAAUCCGGUUUCCUCGGCCAGAGUUGGACGACCUAGCCAGCAACACCUCUUCAUCUCGAACUUGUCACUAGAUGCCAAAGGAGAGGUGUAGAUUCGGGAUCAGUGGUGCAUUGCUUACUAAAAAGUAGAGCUUUGAACAAUUACUUUUGAACAAAAGGACAGAUGGAUUAUCUCGAUCAUUGCCCAACAUUGGACAAUAAUAAUAUUUUCCCUUCAUACAGUGGAGCUGGAGUGCUUAAAGGAAUUUUAAUGAAAAAUAAUCCUCUUGAACUCUCUUCUAUCUCCAUGGCUGAUAUGUUGAUGCUCUUGCCUUCCUCAUGUGUGAGGUCCAGCACUUCAAUGCCAAGGCUGGAAUUGCUUUGGGACAGACUGAGCAUGGGUGAAAGCAAGGUAUUACUGUAAUAAUUCAGUUUACUAUACCUUUGGGCAUGGACAUGAGCAUCUUGAGCCUACUUUCACUCCCAC